rnacentral:tRNA from 1 species
ACAGUGGUGAUUCAGAGGUAGAAUUCUUGCCUUCCAUGCAGGUGACCUAGGUUUAAUUCCUGGCAAAUGAA